CCAAUAGCGUAUAUUAAAGUUGUUGCAGUUAAAAAGCUCGUAGUUGAAUUUCGGGAUCAAUUUAUUGGUCGUACCUUUUGGUACGUACUGAUUUUAUUGGUUUCUCCCUUCUGACGAACCAUGAUGUCAUUAAUUUGAUGUCUUGGGGAAUCAGGACUGUUACUUUGAAAAAAUUAGAGUGUUUAAAGCAGGCUCACGCUUGAAUACAUUAGCAUGGAAUAAUGAAAUAGGACGUUUAAUUCUAUUUUGUUGGUUUCUAGGAUUGACGUAAUGAUUAAUAGGGAUAGUUGGGGGCAUUAGUAUUCAAUUGUCAGAGGUGAAAUUCUUGGAUUUAUUGAAGACUAACUACUGCGAAAGCAUUUGCCAAGGAUGUUUUCAUUAAUCAAGAACGAAAGUUAGGGGAUCGAAGACGAUCAGAUGCCGUCGUAGUCUUAACCAUAAACUAUGCCGACUAGGGAUCGGAUGAUGUUGAUUUUUUAAUGACUCAUUCGGCGCCUUACG
rnacentral:rRNA from 1 species